rnacentral:rRNA from 1 species
UGGUGGAGUGAUUUGUCUGGUUAAUUCCGAUAACGAACGAGACCCCGUCCUACUUACUAGACUUGAGAUGAUUUUCAUCUCUUGAAUCUUCUUAGAGGGACUACUGGCGUAAAUCUAGCUACAUGAAAUGGGGCAAUAACA